CGCUGGCGGCAGGCUUAACACAUGCAAGUCGAACGGUAGCAGGAAGAAAGCUUGCUUUCUUUGCUGACGAGUGGCGGACGGGUGAGUAAUGCUUGGGAAUCUGGCUUAUGGAGGGGGAUAACUGUGGGAAACUGCAGCUAAUACCGCGUAUUCUCUGAGGAGGAAAGGGUGGGACCUUAGGGCCACCUGCCAUAAGAUGAGCCCAAGUGGGAUUAGGUAGUUGGUGGGGUAAAGGCCUACCAAGCCUGCGAUCUCUAGCUGGUCUGAGAGGAUGACCAGCCACACUGGAACUGAGACACGGUCCAGACUCCUACGGGAGGCAGCAGUGGGGAAUAUUGCGCAAUGGGGGGAACCCUGACGCAGCCAUGCCGCGUGAAUGAAGAAGGCCUUCGGGUUGUAAAGUUCUUUCGGUAAUGAGGAAGGGAUGUUGUUAAAUAGAUAGCAUCAUUGACGUUAAUUACAGAAGAAGCACCGGCUAACUCCGUGCCAGCAGCCGCGGUAAU
rnacentral:rRNA from 1 species